GCAUCAUCUGGGAUCAUCACCAUUCCCACAUUUCCCAGCUCUUCAAACAAGUCGGACGCAACCCCACUUUGAACGACGGACUUGCACCCUUCCACCGCGCUGUCUACGCUUCCAAAGGAAGGACGCUGCAUGGCUGCCUUAUCUACUGAAUCUGUCGUGUGAGUCGGACACCACCCCACAUUAACGCCGGACGCUCGAACCCUGCCACCACAGGCUGUCUCAGGCUUCCAUCAUAGGGAGAGGAGGGUGGCGCUUGGACGGCUGCUUUGUGCUACUACAUCAGAAUGGCAAACGCAACCCACCAUCGGAGGGCCUCCACCGGCCUGGUGCCGGUGUCCUGGCGGUCGGUUCCUCCGAACUGCGGGUUCGACUCUGAUGGCCGCGAGGGUGUGCUGCGUGUCUCUUCCCGGGCCGGGCCGAUAUGAAGCGUGACCAAGACGCAUCGUCUGACUCGGGGGUCCCACCACGGGUCCCGCAGCGGGGUGGAGGUUCCAGGCUGAAACCUCCCCAGGUUUAUUGCGAGUUCAACAGAGUGGUGGGGGAAAAUCUCAAGGACAACUUCUUCGAUGCACUUGACCGUUUCUCUCCGAGCCUGAUGGACCUCUUUAGGAAGAAGAAGGGUGUCACUGGCCAAUUUCUGUCUGAGCUUUUAAGUCAGACAAAGGUGGGUUUACUUAACAUCUGUCUACCCAAUCUCUUUCCUCUCUCCUUGUUCCUCUUCUGUCCCUUUGACUUCCUUCUCAUCUCUUCUUUUCUCUCAUUUGCUGCUCUUGUCCUGUCAAUUGAAUUGCAUCUCUUCAUGUGUCAUUGUUUCCUCUUUUCCCUUGUUCCUUUUGCUUUGCUCUCUUGUUUUGUUUGCUAUUCUAUUCUUUCGUCAAGAAGAAGUUAUGUUCUCUCCCUUUUCUAUUCUCCCAUCAUGUCAUCUCCUUUUGUCCUCUCCUUUACUUUCAAGUAUAUUUGCAAUCAAGUAAUUGUGUAGAGUUUGUAGAAUGUAUUUGUAUAUUCCAGACCACUGAGCCAUCAGAUGCCUUUGUGUUCGGGGUCUGCCAAUCCUCUUGAGGGAUGAGCCUUCUGCCUUCUUCAAGACCUGCACCGAUGCGGCUGAUAAGGAGGUGUACAGUCAAACUCCACUGGGAAUCCUCUGUCGGAGAAAAUCCUCAGCUCAACCCAUCCAGUGUGGCAAUCGUCUUGGAGGGGAAUGUGUUGAUGGAUGGACCGGCUAACCUGCCCCAGGCCUUCUGUGUCCUGUUCAGACUCAUUUAUGCCCUGCAACUGGAGUACCCAAAGUGCAUGAAAAACACUUUCCACUUUGCUCAGCAGGUGAUGUUAAAACUUGGUAAAGUUGAGCUGGCACCCAAAAUUCAGACUUUGACAAAUCAGCUUACAUUGUGAAGCGGGGUUCUGAAAAGUUGGCUACUGUUACAUAUGGCAAGUAUUUAGGCUUCCAUGUUGCAUGUUGUUGUUGUUGCAUGUUUGCACUGUUUGACCUAUUAAGCUUGUUGGCAUUUCCAUUUGUGUUUUAUUCUAUAAACUACUGACAACAUCUCUCCCAAAAGUCAUUUAGAGCAUUUAUUUGCAGAAAAUUACAACUGGUCAGAAUAACAGAGAAAAUGCUGUGUUUUCAAACCUCAAAUAAUGCAAAGAAAGUUCUUCAUUAUUAAACAACACAAUACUAAUGUUUGAACUUCGGACGAGUUCAGAAAUCAAUCUUUGGUGGAAUAACCCCGAUGUUUCAAUAACAGCUUUCAAUGCGUCUUGGUUGCUCGCCACCAGUCUGUCACAUUGUUGCUGGGUGACUUUAUGUCUCUCCUGGCACACAAACUCACGCAGCAAUGUGAAAGGUGUUGCAGAGCCAAGACGCAUGAAAGCUGUGAUUGAAAAUCUGGGUUGUUCCACCAAUGACUGAUUCCUGAGCCCUUCCUAUGUCAAAACAUUAGUAUUGUGUUGUUGAAAAAUGAAUUUUAAAUUGUUUUCUUUGCACUAUUCGAGGUCUGAAAACACCAUCUUUUUUGGUUACUUUGAACAUUUGGUAUUUUUUGUAAAUAAACGCUCUAAAUGAGAAUAUUUGGAGUUUGGGAUAAAUGUAGUCAGUCAUUAAUUUAUAGAAUAAAACACAAAUGUUAAUCCAGUUUUUACCAAUAGUAAAACGAGAGAAACUGAUAAUGUUACAGAGGUCUCUUAAUUUUUUCAGAGCUCUACAUAGAUAUAUAGAUCUAUAUAUCUAUUUUUAUAGAUAUAUAACUAUAUAUCUUUAUAUAUAGAGAGAUUGCUAUUGUUUCAUGUGAAACAUGUUCUCAGGAAAAUGUAUGGUACAAUAUUUUUGCCACAGUUUGUAUAGGAAGCUCAAUUUCAUUGUAUCCAAAUGAAACACUCAAGUUUUAAUAAAAGGUCAAACUUUA